AUUGAACGCUGGCGGCAUGCCUAACACAUGCAAGUCGAACGGUAGCAGGGAGCAACCUGCUGGCUUGCGGCGAAGGGGGGGGCGAUAUAGCGAAGCGUACGCAGCAGCGGGGGGGAAGGGGGCGAAAGAUGGGCGCUUACCCCACACGCGCUAAGGGUGAAAAGAGGGGAGAGCAAGGCCUUAUGCUCUCUGAGCGGCCGAUAUCUGAUUAGCUAGUUGGUGAGGUAAAGGCUCACCAAGGCGACGAUCAGUAGCUGGUCUGAGAGGACGAGCAGCCACACUGGAACUGAGACACGGUCCAGACUCCUACGGGAGGCAGCAGUGGGGAAUAUUGGACAAUGGGCGCAAGCCUGAUCCAGCAAUGCCGCGUGUGUGAAGAAGGCCUUCGGGUUGUAAAGCUCUUUUGUCAGGGAGGAAGCGGUAGAGGCUAAUAUCCUUUGCUAAUGACGGUACCUGAAGAAUAAGCACCGGCUAACUACGUG
rnacentral:rRNA from 1 species